GUCAUUAGACGUGUACCACAACCAACCGAAACCGGGUACAAACUAUUUUUAGCCUGGAUUGGAACUUGUCUGCUGUGGAUACAUUUCUGUAGCGGCGGUGACGUAGGAGGGGCGGGCACGCCAUGCAAAGUCGUGACCAUGUGACGACGGCUGACGUGUCAUCGAUGCUGUUCAAAGAUGAAAAUUAAGUGAGAUGCUGUGAUGUGGCAUUCCAAAUGCAGUGUUUCGGUCCAGAUGUAAUCGAGCACAGACUAAUAAUCACAUUACACGUGACCACAGAUAGACACAUGGUAACAAUAAGCCCUUUUAUGAUGAAAUGAAACGACAGAUGCCGUAAGAUUCGGAAUAAUGAAUGACGAGACAGCUGUUUUAAUCGCAGGUAACCCUUAAGCAAAAGCGGAAGUGUAUGACAGUGAAGCAUCUUGCCUCGUCUCAGUGACGACAGUGCAGCCUGAACAUUCAAAGCAAACAACUGCGGGAAAGCAGCGAAUGGCUGAUUGUGAUUGUCUGUGUGUCACUGCACAACCAGACUGAGUGUUUGUCUCAUAGAAAGACCUCAACAUGUCGAAAGUGGACAUUGUACUUUCAGGCUACAGCAGCAGCUGUUAGCCAAGUGCUAGCCAAGUGCUAGCUGGCCUCAGGUUAUCCGGAAGGGCAAAUUUGGAGGCAGCCAACCAGGUCUCUGCACCAGUGGUUUGAAAAGCAAAUUGAAACUCUUGAUGUGCAGACAGCUCUGAUUGAAAAGACAAUUGGCCACACCACAACUAUCAACCUAAAGUUUGGUUCUAAACCUGGAGCUCCCUCCAGGCCGAACAUCUUCACUGACUUCAACUGAGUAGAACAGAUGAGAGGUCAAAGGUGUCACCUGUAGAGGAAGCGGCCCUCUGCCGCUCGCAUGCCACUGCCUCAUUACACACACACACAGUUCUCCAUGUCCCAUGGGGGGUGAGUGAGUCUCAGCUGGGAGCCAUUACAGGUGCCGUCUAAGCACACACACAAAUAUCUAUACAUGGACACACCUGCACCCCGUGUAGCUGAUGGGAUUCCUCCAGAGUGACACUCGACCACCUCUGACCCCUUUUGCGUCUUUUUUAAUCAUCAUCAGCUCUGACUUAACUACAUCCACAAUCAUCAUCAGUGGCCCCGGAGUGACACGGAUCCCUAUUACCAGAUACUUUGAUGAGUGAGACGUCUGCAGUGUGUGCGCAGUGCGCACACGCCUCUUGAGGCCCUCAGUCGUUCCGACCCCAACAGUUGUCAGUCAUUUCUGCCGGCAGUUAGAUCAUCUGAAAUUAAAAUUCCACAUGCCUCAGAUAAGUUAAGGCUAGCUUUGUUUUUAAUCUUUUUAUAGCCCUCAGUGGCCAUCUCUUCUCUUUAAACGUGAUUAAAGCAUGGGAGAGACUGUCA